GACGAACGCUGGCGGCGUGCUUAACACAUGCAAGUCGAACGCUGAGGCUUGGUGUUUGCAGGGUGCGGAUGUGUGGCGAAGGGGUGAGUAAUACGUGUGUAACCUGCUUUAGUUUCGGGGAUAAUCCUGGGAAACUGGCUCUAAUACUGUAUACGACAUUGCUCCGCGUGGUGGUGUGUGGAGAGUCGGCGGUUGGGGAUGGACUGGCGGCUGAUCAGCUAGGUGGUGGGGUGGGGGCUUACCCAGGCUGUGACGGGUAGCCGGCCUGAGAGGGUGACCGGCCACAUUGGGACUGAGAUACGGCCCAGACUCCUACGGGAGGCAGCAGUGGGGAAGAUUGCACAAUGGGCGGAAGCCUGAUGCAGCAACGCCGCGUGCGGGAUGACGGCCUUCGGGUUGUAAACCGCUUUCGCCUGUGACGAAGCGGGAGUGACGGUAAUGGGUAAAGAAGCACCGGCUAACUACGUG
rnacentral:rRNA from 1 species